rnacentral:rRNA from 1 species
AUGGGUCCGGGCGCGACUGGCUCUGGCCGGGGGAAUCAUCGGGGCCUCCUGCUUCGGCUCCCCGACGGCCGACCUCCCCGAUCCAUCCAUGAUGAAAAAGGAAAACAAUUGGAGAUAAAGGAAAACAAUUGGAGGUACAGAGAUCAAGAUGGCCGCAAACUCACUCUUGAUAACUUUUAUGGUUUGCUAUUAUGGUCAUGCUGCUCAUUAAGAUGGUUUGCUAUCAUAGCUGGGUUGCUUAUUUGUCAGUCUUGUUUCAGUGUUUCUUUAUUAUUAUUGUUCGUUUCCUCUUCAUUCCUUCAGUUUUAUGUUCCUUUAUUUAGUAAUUUUUCUUGCAUCAUUUUUCAGUAUUUUAGUCAAUAA